rnacentral:lncRNA from 1 species
UAGGUUUGUCGUUUCGCAAACACUUUUCUUUCAAGCCGCCACUAUUCAAAAAGCCCUAGAGCCGACUCCUAGGUCGUCCCCGAUCGUCUCCAACCUCUGUUCGGUCGAUUUUUCACCGGUUCUUAGGGUUUUCGUCCGUUCCUAGGUCGUCUCCUGUCCGUCCCGAGUCUCCUCCGUCGACCUUUCUCCGUCCUUUAGGUGUUU